CGAUUAGCAACCAUUUCCUUCCCCUCGCUUCAGCAUUUCUAACAGGAGGAGAAUAAUACUGUUCCUAAAAGGCUGGGGCAGCAGAACCAGACAGAACACCAGUGAUCAGAAAGAAGGAGCGCUCGAUCACAGAUGUCCAAAUGCUAACCCUCUCAAGGCACGAUGCUGAUGGACCAACUCCCUCGUGAAAUCACACCCAUGUGUUGCCUAUUUAUGCAACAGAUAAACUGGAGCAAACCUUGAAUUUCUUCUCCUACUACCAAUUAAUGACUCAGGCAGUAAGGGUGACCUCCAAAUGCAUACUCUGUAGGAAAGCGGAAGUCAGCACACAUCGUGCUUGCCAGAGGCACGCUGUUCUUCCAGCUGCACAUUCUUCAUCCCUAAGUGUCCAAGGCUAAAACCAAAACCUGACCCCAAGCAGUAAGUUGCAAUGUUCUGACAUCAUGACAUCAUUCGGUCUGGAGCACUUUAAUACAACAAUUUGAAGGAAAAAAAAAUUGGCAGAAGCUUAAAUAGGUCACACUGAAGCC